UGGGCGUAAAGCGCACGCAGGGCGGUCUGUUAAGUCAGAUGUGAAAUCCCCGGGCUUAACCUGGGAACUGCAUUUGAAACUGGCAGGCUUGAGUCUCGUAGAGGGGGGUAGAAUUCCAGGUGUAGCGGUGAAAUGCGUAGAGAUCUGGAGGAAUACCGGUGGCGAAGGCGGCCCCCUGGACGAAGACUGACGCUCAGGUGCGAAAGCGUGGGGAGCAAACAGGAUUAGAUACCCUGGUAGUCCACGCCGUAAACGAUGUCGACUUGGAGGUUGUGCCCUUGAGGCGUGGCUUCCGGAGCUAACGCGUUAAGUCGACCGCCUGGGGAGUACGGCCGCAAGGUUAAAACUCAAAUGAAUUGACGGGGGCCCGCACAAGCGGUGGAGCAUGUGGUUUAAUUCGAUGCAACGCGAAGAACCUUACCUGGCCUUGACAUCCAGAGAACUUAGCAGAGAUGCUUUGGUGCCUUCGGGAACUCUGAGACAGGUGCUGCAUGGCUGUCGUCAGCUCGUGUUGUGAAAUGUUGGGUUAAGUCCCGCAACGAGCGCAACCCUUAUCCUUUGUUGCCAGCGGCUCGGCCGGGAAC
rnacentral:rRNA from 1 species